CAAGGGAGAAGGGAGCCCAGCUAGAAUUAAGGGUGGGAGGUGGCCUUGGGCCAUAAGGAGAUAAGAAAUAAGCUCAAAGGAGAGAAGUGACUUGCCCAAGGUCACUAAGGCAGUAAGCGGCUGAGCUGGGAUUCAGACUUCUCUCAUCUAAAUUCCCGGUAUUCUUUUGGCCACUCCAUAAGCACAAAACUAUCCCAACAGAUGAUCGUAAACCUUUUGCAAGAUGGCAGGAUAGAUGUGAUAUAGAACGGAAGCCCUCAACUCAGCUAGUAGCAUGACCAGCCUCCCAAGGAUACACCAGUGGCUUCUUUCUCUGCUUUCCCCGAGGACUCCUGCUAACUUCGGCCCUGGGUGGAAGAGCCAAUGAGUCAGACGCCUGUACUUCAUCCCAGCAGUCCCCUGGAGCCCCAUGAAGCAGACACUCCCAGAGGAGCCUCUAUUAUGGGGUGUGCACUGAGCCACCUGCACACUCUUUGGCUUUCAUGACCCAAUACAGCUCUCUCA